AUGCACGCUGGCGGCGUGCCUAAUACAUGCCGGUCGAGCGAACAGACGAGGAGCUUGCUCCUCUGACGUUAGCGGCGGACGGGUGAGUAACACGUGGAUAACCUACCUAUAAGACUGGGAUAACUUCGGGAAACCGGAGCUAAUACCGGAUAAUAUAUUGAACCGCAUGGUUCAAUAGUGAAAGACGGUUUUGCUGUCACUUAUAGAUGGAUCCGCGCCGCAUUAGCUAGUUGGUAAGGUAACGGCUUACCAAGGCAACGAUGCGUAGCCGACCUGAGAGGGUGAUCGGCCACACUGGAACUGAGACACGGUCCAGACUCCUACGGGAGGCAGCAGUAGGGAAUCUUCCGCAAUGGGCGAAAGCCUGACGGAGCAACGCCGCGUGAGUGAUGAAGGUCUUCGGAUCGUAAAACUCUGUUAUUAGGGAAGAACAAAUGUGUAAGUAACUAUGCACGUCUUGACGGUACCUAAUCAGAAAGCCACGGCUAACUACGUG
rnacentral:rRNA from 1 species